AGUCGAGGGGCAGCAUUUCAGUUUGCUUGCAAACUGGAGAUGGCGACCGGCGNUNGGGUGAGUAACACGUAUCCAACCUGCCGAUAACUCGGGGAUAGCCUUUCGAAAGAAAGAUUAAUACCCGAUGGNAUAAUCAGACCGCAUGGUCUNAUUAUUAAAGAAUUUCGGUUAUCGAUGGGGAUGCGUUCCAUUAGGCAGUUGGUGAGGUAACGGCUCACCAAACCUUCGAUGGAUAGGGGUUCUGAGAGGAAGGUCCCCCACAUUGGAACUGAGACACGGUCCAAACUCCUACGGGAGGCAGCAGUGAGGAAUAUUGGUCAAUGGGCGCAGGCCUGAACCAGCCAAGUAGCGUGAAGGAUGACUGCCCUAUGGGUUGUAAACUUCUUUUAUAUGGGAAUAAAGUUUUCCACGUGUGGAAUUUUGUAUGUACCAUAUGAAUAAGGAUCGGCUAACUCCGUGCCAGCAGCCGCGGUAAUACGGAGGAUUCCGAGCGUUAUCCGGAUUUAUUGGGUUUAAAGGGAGCGUAGGUGGACAGUUAAGUCAGUUGUGAAAGUUUGCGGCUCAACCGUAAAAUUGCAGUUGAUACUGGCUGUCUUGAGUACAGUAGAGGUGGGCGGAAUUCGUGGUGUAGCGGUGAAAUGCUUAGAUAUCACGAAGAACUCCGAUUGCGAAGGCAGCUCACUGGACUGCAACUGACACUGAUGCUCGAAAGUGUGGGUAUCAAACAGGAUUAGAUACCCUGGUAGUCCACACAGUAAACGAUGAAUACUCGCUGUUUGCGAUAUACAGUAAGCGGCCAAGCGAAAGCAUUAAGUAUUCCACCUGGGGAGUACGCCGGCAACGGUGAAACUCAAAGGAAUUGACGGGGGCCCGCACAAGCGGAGGAACAUGUGGUUUAAUUCGAUGAUACGCGAGGAACCUUACCCGGGCUUAAAUUGCAUUUGAAUANUNUGGAAACAGNUUAGCCGCAAGGCAAAUGUGAAGGUGCUGCAUGGUUGUCGUCAGCUCGUGCCGUGAGGUGUCGGCUUAAGUGCCAUAACGAGCGCAACCCUUAUCUUUAGUUACUAACAGGUCAUGCUGAGGACUCUAGAGAGACUGCCGUCGUAAGAUGUGAGGAAGGUGGGGAUGACGUCAAAUCAGCACGGCCCUUACGUCCGGGGCUACACACGUGUUACAAUGGGGGGUACAGAAGGCAGCUACCUGGUGACAGGAUGCUAAUCCCAAAAGCCUCUCUCAGUUCGGAUCGAAGUCUGCAACCCGACUUCGUGAAGCUGGAUUCGCUAGUAAUCGAGCNUCAGCCAUGGCGCGGUGAAUACGUUCCCGGGCCUUGUUAAAGGGGCCCGUCAAGCCAUGAAAGCCGGGGGUACCUGAAGUACGUAACCGCAAGGAGCUCCUAGG
rnacentral:rRNA from 1 species